UGAUGAGACUGAUGAUGAUAUUUGCAGCUUGGAAUGCAAGGGUAUAUUGUUGUCGCGGCUUGGAGAAUCACGGCAACCUACUGCUCGUCCAUGCCCUGUGAAGUUACCAGCAACUGAUGAGUGCUAUUAUGUAAGGGAUAAUGGUAAGUCUGAAGUGAAUCCGCUAACAACUGAGCAGACUGAACUUCUGAGAAGGAAACUUGAUAUUCUUGUGAAG
rnacentral:misc_RNA from 1 species